rnacentral:lncRNA from 1 species
CCGUUGGACUUCUGUCCCAAUUUAACUUAGUGGGGACAAAAAGAAAGGACCGUGAUGGAAAUAAGAGGGGGUUCAAAGGAUCAGCCGUUUUUGAAUUAAUAGUCGAAGUCGCAGCCAGCUCGUAUAAAAAGACUUCUUGAC